rnacentral:rRNA from 1 species
UACGUAGGGGGCAAGCGUUGUCCGGAUUCAUUGGGCGUAAAGGGCGCGUAGGCGGCCUUCUAAGUCGAACGUGAAAUCCCCGGGCUCAACCCGGGAACUGCGUCCGAUACUGGAAGGCUUGAAUCCGGGAGAGGGAUGUGGAAUUCCAGGUGUAGCGGUGAAAUGCGCAGAUAUCAGGAGGAACACCGGUGGCGAAGGCGGGUCUCUGGGCCGAUACUGACGCUGAGGAGCGAAAGCGUGGGGAGCGAACAGG